rnacentral:rRNA from 1 species
CGCGUAGGCGGAUAGUUAAGUCCGGUGUGAAAGCCCACGGCUCAACCGUGGAGGGUCAUUGGAAACUGGGGAACUUGAGUGCAGAAGAGGAUAGUGGAAUUCCAAGUGUAGCGGUGAAAUGCGUAGAGAUUUGGAGGAACACCAGUGGCGAAGGCGACUGUCUGGUCUGUAACUGACACUGAGGCGCGAAAGCGUGGGGAGCAAACA